ACACACCGGGAAUGAUGCAAAUAUACGGCGCAAAAUUACAAAAUAUUCAGAGGCAAAUUUUGGUCAGGUGGCUGCACUAUAUUAUAGAUGCAUUAUAGAUGGAACAGUGGCAUUGCACUAAUAAGGGUUCAUCGAUGCAAUAAAGCUUGCAUUCAGUUGCUGCAGACUGCAUUGUUUUUCUCUGCAAUUACAGCCAUGCUUUGUUUUGUGUUUCAUAAAAGCACAUAUUUUUGCACGUAGACACCCGACAGUUUAAGUUGAGCAGGUGGGCUCUGGGAUUAUUCAAACCAGCUUUUGGCUAAACAGGUAAACAAUACCUCCAAAUAGACAAAGAUAUUUAUACAGAGGCAAGCAGACAGUUGGAAAACAAAAUGAGAAAGGCUACGGUUAAAAUAAUUUGGAGCAGGAGGAAAAAAGGACAAUGUGGCGGUGGUGCUGAGCUGCAGUCUUUUUAUCACCCAACAACGCUGCAUGUGUUUGAAGUGGAAAAUCGCAGUUUCUUUAAUCCAUGGAGAAUUCAAAUAAGUUUAUUUCACUGGGAUUAAAAACAGUAACAAUGGCAGGCAGUUAAAAAACAAACAGCUCCAAAGAAAUGGCGACAGAGCUGAGGCACUCACACGGCAUGGGUUAAGCUCUACAUUCAUUGUGGUCUGUUUCAUUAGCUGAAAUGUAUUAUUAUUGUUUAUCUUUGGAGCUCCCCGAUUAAAAAAAAAAAGGGCCAUGCUUUUUCUUUGGAUUACAGUGUUAGAAAGGUUCAGGGUCUGCUUGCCAGUGUAAUCCACAGAAUUAUUUUCCAACAACAACCUCAGGAAGAUGGAAGAAAAACAGCAUUUUUCAACACAUGAACACUGGGGCGCAUUUGAUUAAAAAUAGGCUAAUUUCACAAUAUCAUCAAAGGGGGAAAGGAGCUUUGUGUGUGUGUGUGUGUGUUUUGUGAGGGAUCUACAAACUGUGAAGUUCCUGUAAAAAUAAACAUAUUCCUGGAAAUGUUCAAGGUCAAAAACGGGGCCAGCUUGUUCACUGAGCACUUGGUCCUAAUGUUGUCUUAUGUGGCUGCUGGCUCUGCCUGAUCAGAAGACGGCCGGGGUAAAUUAUCGAUUAAUCAAUUGUUGUCCCUUACUUCUGUGAAACAAAAACAAAUGUUGCAGUAUUUUUAUCUCUCUAACAAAUGUGGCUUUUGAAAACUAUUGCAAUAUCUCUCAUUAUAGAUAUAUACACAACAUGUAUCUUCAUAUUGUGAUACCUACAGUAAGUCACUGUUAUAGCAGACCCUUUGACGCAAAAAGGCACCAGUGUGACCAUAAUGGCACUUCCAGCUAUGGCCUGGUUGUCAAAGAUCCCUCACAAAAACACAUCUCCAAGCAACAUAAAAGGAGGGAGUUGGAGACGACUCAGGUUGUGGUUUUUGUUGUGCUUCAUGGCAAAGGGAGGUGAUGAGUGGAUAUUCCUCGGUAAUAUCUAUCUGAGCGCUGUAACUACCUUGGGUUGCUCUUCUGGUUCUAACUGUGCCCUCCUCCCUCAAACAAGCGUGCAUGAGGGUUUUCUGGAUUGAUAAGGAGGGUGUGCUGUCUGCAUUGAGAGGGUGUUAGUGGAGAGUUAGGGAAGCAAUGCUCUAGAGAGAGAGAGAGAGAGAGAGAGAGAGAGAGAGAGAGAGAGAGAGGGGCUUAAAACUUUGGUGUUGCAGUUUGUACCUGAAAGUUGUGAGAUGUUAUGUUUCACAAGGAGCAAGUCCAGUGUCUUAAAUAUGCGCAAAAUACAGCACACACUAAAAGAAUUGAUAUCAUAUAGAUGCAGUAUAUUUUGAGUACUGACAAACACUUUAAUUUUGAAUUAUACAAUUACACAAUGUAUUUUUCAAAACAGAAAUAAUAUUUAAGUCUAGCCAGAAACAUUGAAAAGGAUGUCUGCACUUUCUGCAGACAUUGUUUGUUUAGUUUCUGAAUCUGUCCUGUGAGUUCAUGAGCCAAUACUUAUUUGUUAAAAUGCCAUUAACCAGCCUGAAUGAUAAACAGGUCUGUAAGUAGGAAGUUCUUUCAAAGCUAGAUGAAUGACAUCUUCGACUCUGAAUCAAAAUUUCUUGUGAAACCACAUUUCCAACUUGGCAGGAUGAGUCCAAGCCGGUCAGACAAGCCCCCCAGUGAAAUGAUAUCCCAGAAAGAGAAAGCUGCUGUGAUUUUUACAGUAAAUCUUCUAAGAAAAGGAACGAGGCAGUUGGGUCAUUUCAUGAGGAAAUUAAAAAAGAUUCACCUGAAAUUGUCGCAUUGGGUCUAUUUUAUGUUCCCAACUAUGAAAGCUCUUGGUUACAACUCAGCAGUUGUAAGUUUAUGGUGAAGGAGGAGAUUUUUUUAGAGAUCAUAACUAAAACUGUGCAGAUUACACCUUUGGGUUUUAUCCUGACUGUGAGCUGUUAUCAGGCGGCUAUGACUCUUACUCACACUUGAAGCUCACAAUCAUUUAAAACGGUCACCGCUGAGAAAACCCCUCCGUGGAACUAAAACGCCCCAAAAAACAUGAAAAUUUAAAUGAAAUCACGGGACCUGCCUCCCCCGACAGUCAGUGUGAUGACACGCUUUCAGAUCCUGUCUGAGUGGUUCUGAAUGUGCUGAAAUGUAAAUGACUGGACGCAUGGAGGCCCAAAUGGGAAGCCACAUUCUACAUGGGUCAAAGACAGGAAGACUAUAGAGGAGAGAUAAGUGGAAGGGAAAAGGAGGGAGAAAUUCUCAUGCGAAUAGUUUAACAGCGGACACACGGUGCCACUUGCAUUAUGGUGACUGUUGCGUCAAGGGGCAACGCAAAGGGGCCCCCUUUUUUUUGGCAAUGCACCCUGGAGUUUUUAGUGCUCUUUAAAAGAAGAAACCAACCACAUUCAAUAGUGAGCUGCUAGCUCAUGUUAUGGAAUCAAGUAUCAAGCUACCCAGAAUAAAUGUGCCUCAGGUGUCAGUAUAGGAAGAAGCAGAGUUUCAACUUUUUUCAUACAAAAUAAGAAUAAAUUUAAAGUUUGGAGAGGCAAUCUAAACAUAGAAGAUAUGGUUGUAUAUUAAAAAUGAGUGUUAGAGUUCAGUGUUAUAAAACGUGCCUGAUUAAUGCCUGAAGCUCAUGUUUAUGUCAUGCACUUCACCGUUUUACUGCCUGUCAGUGUCAUUAUAUCUCCAUGUUCAGCUCAUUCAUGUUGUCUGGCAUGACUGACUCUUUCACUCCGGUGAAACACACACCCUGUGCUCCUUGGAAGCUCAAAGCUGCCUUUUAAUAGUGACGAUGCCUUCUUGUUAGCCAGGAAGAAAAAAGGUCACACAAUUGGAUUUCCGAGCUUUGGAAAUCCCAGGAUAUUUACCUCAAACAUAGUGUGCGCCUUACCCUCCCCGUUCACCUUUUAUCCUCUCUAACUGCUCUCAAGCUGAUUUGUCAACCAUACACAGGAUCAAUUAAUCUAUUGAGUCUGAGCAGCAUGGAAGAUUUAAAUUGUCCAUACACACCCAUGUGGCCGGCAAGCCCAUUUUGUCUAUUUAUAGUCCUCAUCAGUUGGUGCUGCGGGCGCAACAGACAAAAGCCUGUCAAUUAAAAAUAAACCCCUCUGUCAUUUUUUCCCUGAGAGAUCUUCAGCAUUUACCUUGACUCUGGUACAAAGCAACACAAUAAUGAAUGUUUUUUUGUCAGAGGAACAGUGAUGUACCUUAAUCUAACAAACAAGCUAAUCUAACUAGGGUGUACGUUUCAAGGCUCCUUUUCUUUCAUUUCUCCAACAAACAAGUUGCAGUGUACAUCAUUGCUGCUUUGAAUAUUCCGCAUUUUUUCCCGAAGAUUUCACGACUGCGUUGUUUCUUUCAGUCUAAAAGAUGAAAAGGAAUCCGUUGUUCUCAAUUUAUUCCUUCCCAUGCCCUAGAAACAGGCAGGUACUGCAGCAAGACAUUCAUGGAGAAGUUUCCCCUGCAGCCACUAAGUGCCAAGCCGUGUCAAAAAUGACAUGCAUCUCUCGUUUCCAUGUCAUGCCAUGCAUGUGAUGUGAUGGGCGAACGAAGGCAGUUCCUGCAGAGAAUAGUAGGGGGUCAUUAUUAAGCCUCUUAAAUUAGUGCCCCCCCCUCACAGCCUUUGCAGUUUCCUCGAGACCCCCAACCAAACACACACACACACACACACACACACUGAACUCCAUACAUUUGACUCGACAAAGAAAAUCAUUUCCUAAGUUUACUUGCAGAAAGCUCAUUUCAUAUAUGAUUGAAUUGUACCUGUAUGGUAUGACCCAUUUAGACUCAAAGUCACACAUGGAUGCUUAGAGAACCCAUUUAAGCAGAACCAUGCUGUUGGUUAGCUAUAGAAUGUGCCAAUUGCAAGUCCUAUACAGUGCAAUUUACAUGUCACUCCAUCAUACUCACUUACAUGGUUCAACUCACAAGAGCUACUGCUUAGAUCGCCUGUCAGGGGAGGGGGGUAAUACUAUAUGUAAUGUACUACAUGGUAUAGGGUGGGUGGCAACAGCAGCAGAAAGCUUAACCUCUGCUGCCCCUGAACUCCAUCCUCGCUGAAACACAAAUGACACCGUGACAAACCCGGCUCGUGCCCCGGCUGAGGAAAUUCACCAUUCCUGAUGCAUCUCCGCCCAUUUUUUGAUAGGCAGGUCCCACCACUCCUGCAUCCGCCAGGCCUGUCUAAAGGUCCUUAAUAUCCCCAGAUUAAAGAGACCCUAACCCCAAGGUCAGCCUCUGGGAGAACGACUGCCUCUUCCCCCAGAGUGAACACCAAUUUUUUUCUAUUUUUAUUCUUUGCCUCACUUUUCUUCCACUCUCUUUCACUUGUUUCCUCUCUCUUCCAUCUCUGUCUUUGGAUCUACGCAUCCCAGUCUUUUUCUCCCGCUGUUGUGUGUGUAUGUAUAUUUACAAGAGUGCACAUAACUGGUGUCUGGGGAAGAGUAAGGAGCGGUGGGGAAGGGAAGCCAUUAGGGGAAUAAAGAGAGGUGCUGCCUCAGAGCCGAGCUUCACAGGCCAGUGGAGCAAAUCAAAUUGGGUCUUGUUCUGCGGCAGGACACACACACACACAGACUCACACAGUCACACACAUGCAUAUAUACAGUCAAUGACAGUGGUGGAGGCACACAGCUGACAGGAGGCCCUUUGGGACAUGCAGGGCUGGGCAUGUCUGGGGCUAGCCCACGAAGGGACACAUUCAUGACCUCAACUCUCCUGAGAAAACAAAUUCUACCAUGAAUUUAUGGUUGGUUUUUUGUUGGUUUAAGAUACAAAAGUAAUACUAACAAUAUUUUUGAGGAGUUUCAAAUUCAAAUGUACGGUUGUUCAUGGUAUAAAACCUCAUUUAAAAAUCAGUCAAGCCUUAAACACUAAAGAUACUCAUUCCUCAGUACAACUGCAACAUUUCCUUACUGGAAAAAAAAACCCCUAUUUUAUUUUUUACUUUUUUAGUUUAGCCUGUUUGUUAAAAUACGCUCUUGCAAUUAAACCCACAAAAUAAUAGCUAAAAUAAACAUAUUUAAGUGAUAACUGGCUUUAGAGAUUAAUAUUUUCGUUAGGAAUGAAUAUUCUAGAGAUUCAGGGCUAACUUUUCAGAACAUCUCCAACCUUCAUGCAAGUAGACUCUCAAGUAGAAAUAAAGCAAUUAACCUCUUCCAUUACAAACCGCACUUUACAAUGUCUUGUUAAACACUUAUUUAAUGAUAAAGGCUCUGAUACACCAAGUAUUUUUGUUGUCAUUCUCAAUGAUGCACCAUGAGUAAGUGUACACUCUACUGAGGAAAUUUCCCGCAUUUUACUUGAAAGUUUAGUCUCUUUUGUGCUAUUUUUAGGCACAACAUUUAUACAUGCUCUUACGUCUGCAGUGUGCCAACCAGUUGAUUGGUCACAAUGUAUGAGUUACUAAUAUAUAUGUAGCUGACUAUCAUACAUUAUGGCUAACAUUAGGGUGACCAUAUGUCCUCUUUUACCUGGACAUUUCCUCUUUUUUGGGGACUGUCCAGCCUUGUCCGAGGGAGUUUAUAAAAUCCUUCAAAAUGUCCGGCGUUUUGUAUGGAACUUUCAAGUUUUUGUUGCGUGGAUUUACUGAGUUAGAAGCACGUAAAAAAUGCUCAACCCGACCCCAAAAACUCUCAGAAUUUACUUUGCCCGACUCGGUGACUCCGCCCAUGGCAGCAGAAUGCGAACUAUUGAAAAGCAUAUUGAUCAUGUUUUAUAUUGAUAUUGAGGGAAAUUAAUUUUCAGUAUAUAUUAUUAUUGUUUUAUCGCCCAGCCCUACUUGUGGGAAUUCCACAUUUUGUCCCUGCUAUCCUGUUGAUGUGCCAUGCUUGUCAAGAGACAAGAAAGCUAAGUUGCAUUAGUUUAACUGUGGUAGAGGGGCCAUGCAGGCAGCAAAGCUCUGUAUCCACUGGAGAAACCAAUAAAGGUGCCACUGUGGGCGUUGUGGUUCAUCAAGCUGUUAUUUAAGACGAUGCAUCUCCUGCCUGCAAAGCCUACUGCAAAAUCAUUGCUGCAGGUUGGAUUCGAACCUGGGCCGUCUGCUUUGAGGACUAUGGUCUCUGUAGACAAGGACCAGCAAGUUAACUCAUUAGGUCAACGCCCCAAACCCUCAUCUUUCAUGACAAUUUUAACAGCAAAUAGUGAUAUCCAUCUAAGCUCUCUGCACCAAUACCACAUUCAUAACGGCUCAAAUCCUCCAUUCCCAUAAUGUUCUGAAUGAAGUUAUUAGCCAGGCUCAUGGGGAAGCUGAAGAAUUGGCCGAGGACUCCAGGUAAAGGGCACUAGAGCUAAUGAAAAAUGAGACAGAGUCAUUCUUGAGGCUUUACUUUUAUUAGAAAUACAUGAUAAUCGCACCAAAACCUUAGUCAACAUAAUGUUCGCUGCCAUCUAUACCAUACUGAUGCCUACGGGGCAUGAUUCAUCCGCAGAGAGAUAAAGGGAGAUGGGUAAAAAAUACAUGCAAUGCUUACACUUCAUUCAGCUUCUCUAAAGGAUUACCACCACAAAUCACUUUUGCUCAAUUCAUUACAUGCCUGCAGAGAGGGGGCAGAUGUCUGAUGGAUGGUUGUCUGCAAAUGGACUUGUCGGUAACAGAAAAAUGCUCACGCUUUAAUUAAAGAGAGCCGGACAAGUGGAUCUACAGUUGUGGGGGGUCUCUCCUCAUCUGUAUAGGCAGGGUCAUGUACCAGCAGGUUCUAGGCAGAAGGCACGAGCUGUAGAUACUUUUUUCAAUUAGAUUUUUUUUUUUUUUUGAACUCUUUUAGCUUUAUAAGAUAGAAAAGAAGGAGAACAGAAAAAGAGACAGGAAAUGUGGGGUGCAGAGAGUAAGGAAAGACAUGAAGCAAAGGAUGCAACAAGGACUGUAACAUCUUAACUGUUAGGCCAUUGGCACCCUCGAAGGACCAAGCUUGUACAUGCUCACUCUGAAAAAUCAAUAUAAAAGGAAAAUCAUCAUACUAUCACUGUAAACUCAUAGACAAGAAUGUAAAUAAGCAAGAAGCUGUUUGUUCAGGGCUAAAUAAUGGUUUUAAUUAGGGCUGGGUGAUAUGGGAAAAGUUUAUCACAAUAUAUUUUUUCACAUCGGUCGAUAUCGAUAUUUAUCACAAUAUAAAAAAUGAAAUGUAACAGUGCUUAUUGCUAGCAUGUCUUUUGCGAUACAAUAAGCUACUGCAUCUGUGAGGUCUUUGUAUCUCUUCGGUGUUCUGUCAUAAGGCGUUGCGCUAGAGAAAGCGGACUGAAUGGUGCUGAAUGCUGUUUCGGCUGCACAGGCGCCAUGAGCUCCUUGCUCUGCUUGGGGUUUGUGACCUUUUGCAUUGUGCGUGCCCUGCCGUGUGGCACUGCUUCAGGUGGUGAAAAAGAUUUGAGGUAUUCCCUGACUUUGCAAGAACAUGUACUCGACAUAAUUUGCAGUGCAUAUUACUCUGUUUAAAAACAAAAAACCUCCACACCACCAACGUUUUCAUGCCAGUGUUGUCGACGAUGUUGUCAUCUGUUGGGCCUUCAUCUGCAUUUCUGCCAGGGUAGAACUCAUUUUCUGUUAAAGUGCUAUGGUUGUGUGCAGCUGCAGCGUGCUACUAUGCAGUUGUUUGCUACUUGGUUCUAAUUCAGCACAUGAUUGGUUCAGGGUGAAGCGGCCGGGAGCAACUCCACUUUUCAUUGGCUAUUUAUAUAGUCUACCAAAACAUGGCAGCAGAAUGCCCACUAUCGAAAAGCAUAUUGACAAUGUAUUAUAUUGAUAUUGAGGGAAAUUAAUAUCCGAUAUAUAUCAUUAUCAUUUUAUCGCCCAGCCCUAGUAGUAAUACAUCCGAAUGUUUUCAGAACAGAGGCCUGUAC